UNGUAUUAGGUGCUGGGCCACACCACUCUUU
rnacentral:piRNA from 1 species